AGUAUCUAGUGAAAGAGAGACUCCAUUCUAUUUGAAGCAAGAUGACUGUGUUUUAGAAUCCACUGUAAACACUGCUAAGUUCCAUAGAGUGUUGGAGUGCUUCUUUGCUUGAAAGAGAGCAAAGCUGCAGGAGAAGGUAAAAGUGGUUAUCUCUCAAAUGAGCUGCAAGGCAUGGCCUAAUUGUGAUACAGAAGGCUCACUGCUGAGCUCUGGAAAAAGAGGAAAAUACAGUUGUUUGGAAGUUAGAAAAAGAGACUGUGAGCCCGUGCUUGACUGUAAAUAUGUUUUGAUUCAUCUAUAACUAUAUGUUUCUGUAAGUAAAGUUUUUGAAUGUUAAAGUCUGGACAUUGGUUUAAUUUCCAAAGAAGGGUUUCAGUCAUAUACAGUGGACCCUCCGGAUACAAAUUAAAUUUGUUCUGGGAGUCCGUCCGCAACCCGAAAAGUCCGUAGGCGAAGGCGCCGCUUCUGCACAUGUGCAGUAUACACUUCCGGGUUUGCCGCGUUCGUAACCCGAAAGUUACGUAUCCAGAGCGGUACGUAACUAGAGGGUCCACUGUAUAUCAUUUGAGCUUCUUAGCUGCGAUUGCGCUGCCCUUACUUCAACAAUGGUAACAGUUUGUGACACCUCACAAUUGUGGAUGUACCUCAGCAGCGAUUUAUUUGCGCACUUGCUUAUUCUUGAAAAUAUUUAUUAUAGCCCACUCUCCAUCUGUACUGAUACCAAGGGAGACCAACCCAUAAAACUGUUGUAGGGGACCUUUCCAGCACAAGGGCCGCAUUUCCUUGCAGGGAACCUGCCAGGGGCCAGUGCAAGGUAGCCGUCAGAGGCAAAGGGGAGAGGAGCAGCACAUGUCGCUCUUGUGUUUGUUCAGUGGGCUCCAUUGCAGCUGCGCAAAAGCCAGCGGUUUCUACGCUGCAGCCACCCAUCAAUCUCUCAAUCAAGUUCCGCAAGAAGCAUCGUCACAGUUCAAAGAAACAUUCCAACCGGAGAAAAUGAGGAAAGUGUGGAGCAAGGCUAGUGAGGGGCAUGGUGUGGGGAGCAUCCUGGGGUCCAGAGAGAAUGGCCUGGAGGGCUGCAUUGGGCCAGCAGGCCAAGUCUCCCUUCGAAGAAGGUUGCAGAGAUUAGUACUAUGUGCUAAGUUCCAUUGCACCAAGUGAGGUUUAGUUCCAAGUAAACAUGCAUAUAGCGCAUUGACCGGACAAUUUUGGCUUCUCCAUAAGGUGGCAAAACAGGUGCUGGAUUUCAACAGAGAGGCAAGGAAAGAGCAUUUCUGAAUCAGGGGAAAUAAAAACACAACACAUCUACCCAGCCAUUGACUGCAUCCUUAGAUAUUUAGUCCACUGUGUGGCUUUCUGGCUUUCUUAAUCCAUCCUUUGUUAAUCCACUACGAACAACUCCAGAUUUCUGCUGAGACAAUGAGUCUGAGGCCCUUUGAAGAGAAUGGGCGCUGGUGAAGCAAACAAUAUAUUUCCUAAAAUAAACAGAUCAAAGCAUCAUUCUUCCUUUCAUAUGUGGCAUGAGCCCUUUCCCCCAAGAAAUUCUUCCUUCCUUGCCACCAUCACACACUUUAAUUAACACAUUGCAACCUGCUGACCCAUGGAGGAGUUAACGCAGUACAGUUCUGGUAUGGCACAGGUAAAUAUCUAACCACAUACCAAAUAGUAGGCCUUGUAAACAUUAUUUCACUUGGAAUGUCAAGCACUUGGGAGUUGCAAAAUGUCCAUAUUUAUACAACUUUUAACCAUCCUCCUCCUUAUCCACUGAAUGAAGAAUUUCUCACACAAAUAAAACAAUCCAGUAAUUAAAUCCCAGAAGAAUUGCUGUGUCAGGGGGUGCUUUGGGUUAAUAUUGCCUGCAGAAGCAUGAAUGGAAAAAGAGAUGCUGUAUUGCCUUGCUUGCUUUUUAAUUUCUUAUUACUUUUUUAUCCUACCUUUUCCUCCAAGGAGCUCAAGGUGGUGUAUAUGGUUCCCCCAUCACUGACUGGCAGAGGCUCUCCAGGGUUUCAGAUAGGGCUCUCUGGAGAUGUUGGGAUUGAACUCAGCAUCUCAGCAAAGCAGAUGCUCAACCACUGAGCUUGUUGUUGUUUAGUUAUGUUCGACUCUUCAUGACCCCAUAGACCAGAGCACGCCAGGCACUCCUGUCUCCAACCACUGAGCUACCCUUCCCCUAAGUCUGUGGGACAGAGAUCCCUACAUGCCUUCCCUUUCCUCCCAUUUUCCCUGUCUUGGCCUACUGGAUCCCAAAACCAAAUAAACUUUCUAACACAAGUCAAUUUCAUACGAAUAUCUCUGAGGGAGUUUUAAAAACAAACCAUGAAACCCAACGCAGGCCAAGUCCUAGCAAGACAGUUUGACACGUGGAAUCCGGAGUGUUCUAAUCUGUAGGCCUCAGUGUGAGCUGGAAACGAUCAUUGCUGAGCUGUUGUUGAUUCAUCUCGGCAAGCAAAGGAAGGGGGUCUGUGUUUGGACAGAUGUAGGUUGUAUAUCACAGACAGGAGACCUAAACAGUAUGCUGAAUCCCCAGCUGUCUAUUAUGGAUUGUUUUUACCUCCCCCGUUCUCCAUGACAGUUUUUCAGGCUCCUUUUAAACAUCUCCAAAGCUCUUUUAUUCCAGUUGAUGCUCAAUGAACACUUUGACUCGCUAAAAGCUGCAUGGUUUGAAAAUUGUGGUUAGAGCCAUGCCAGGAAGCCAAAACUGCUGCAUCCCAUCAUGUAACCUUUCCCUUCAGAGUCACAUCAAAAUACUAUUUUUUUAAUGCAGCUCGAUCAGACGCACUUGUUGCCAUGCACAAAUAUAUAAAUAUAUAAAAUAUAUCAUCCUAAGGAUGUCAUCCUUGGAGAGGCAAAGUAGGUGAAACUGGACUUAAACCAGGAGGUUAGACUGUGUUUAUUUUCAGUGGUCAGGACUCUCAGGCACUCAAUGAAGGCUGUGUCCUGGCAUGGGGUCCACCUCAGGUUCUCCCAUUAACAUGGGUGCACAGCCUUGAAGCCACUCUGGUGAGACUGUGCUCACCUGACACUACCUUGAUGUCAGGUAACCCAUCUUCAAAAGAAAAACUCUGGAGCGCACUCUUAAGUGCACACUUUCAAGUCCUGAGCCAUUUCUGAUGAGGUGGCCUUUGCAUGGAAGUUGACGACGCCCAGGACAAUCAUCCAGCGGGUCCUCAGCACCUGAUCCAAGACCAGCUUGGUGAUCUCAGGGAGACAGUUUGGUGGGAUGGGAUGGGCACAACACCAACAGUAUUCCCAACUUGUCCCACUAGAGCCAAGUGCAAUUUCCUGAGCGGCAGCCAUGAUAGUCCAUUACACCAAAAGCACCUUAAAGACUCACAGAUUAAAGACUCACAGAUUUAUUUAUUGUAGAAUAAGCUUUUGUGGACUGAGGCCCACUUUGUCAGAUGUAUGAAGGAACAUAUUGCAGACUGACCUGGCAUUCCAUAGCAGCACCACAAGGCCAGAAGCCACACUGACACAGGGCAUCUCAGAUUUCCAGGGUAGCGGGAGAUUACCAGAUGUAACACAAUUCAAAACCAGGCAGGGAGGAGCUCCCUUGAAAUUUGUGAUUCAUUAAACACCAAGGACUAUGUUCUGGCAUAUGCCUUAAAACCUCUACAAGACGUUGCCAUGUUGGUAAUACAGUGGGAUUCAGAUACGGCUUAUUUUGAAAUGAAAGCUCACAAUUCUUAAUGCACCAAGAUGACAACAGCAACGACAAAUUCAACGCAAUAUUGCAUAGAUGCAAAAGCCUACGCCAGAUGAGCAGUCAAAUGAAGAAAAAUGUGGCGAGGUCCCUCCAGCUUGCCUCCUCCCAUGACCAGCUGUAAAUAUUUAUCUGGCAGCCUUUAAUGAAAGACAUGGGCCGAAACAAUGAUAGUUUCAACAUGGCUGCCCUCCAGGGCUCCAAACUCGAGGGAGUUUGUUCUUCGCCACAGCUUUCUCAGCCGAUGGUGCUGUAGGUUCCUGGGCAGUCAAGUGGAUGCUUUGGGGGACGGAGGCGGGGGUGGGGUGGGGGUUGCGGGAGACCCAUAUAAAACCGCAAACUCUGAGAGAAAAAGUGUGAGACUGCAAUGGAAGCCUGGCUGCCCUGCCUUUUAAUGAGCUGGUGCUGUUUUGAAGCUGGAGAAACCUUCCAGGGGCGGGGAAGGAGCUUGCUUGGCAAAGGGGUUUUAGAAAUCUUUCCCUGCAGCAACAGAUUUAAUGGUAAAUAACUUGCAUUCUUUUCCUUCUGAAAUGCCUGAUUAUGUACACCCUCCAGAUAAGUUGUCGCCUCUCUAGGGCAGCAUGUUUGCUCAUUUGUACCGUGUGCUAUAUAAACUGUUCGGAACAAGAGCUUGAAAAGAACACUUACUUAACACUUUCGGAGGCAGUUGUUAACAGAGUGGGAACACCGGCAGCUGACUUACACCGAGUUAGCUGGGUGUUACUACAGUGCUCUCCACGUCUGACUCAGUACUGUCUAUACUAAAUGGCUGUGGCUCUCCAGGUUUUCCGACGGAUGCCUUCCCCAGUCGUACCUGGGGAUGCCAGUGUCAUAGACUGGCUGGAUGCAGAGGAAUGGAGGGAGGCAGUUGGGGAACCCCCGAGGGAACCUCCAAGAGAAGAAGGCUCAGAGCCAGGGAUUGGUGGUGGGAUGGCAUUGGGUGGACAGAGGGGAGGUAGGCAGACUGGGAGCAGGAGCACAGCUGUCAACUUUCCCCUUUUUUUAAGGGAAAUUCCCUUAUUCCGAAUAGGAUUCCUCACAAGAAAAGGGAAAAGUUGACAGCUAUGAGCAGGAGGUGUCGAAUGCUGAAGAGGCAACAGGGUUUAGUGAGCUGGAAGAGGCUGUGGUAGACAGCAGUCCAGACUCAGAGGCAGAAGUGGAGGCGGGGGGGGGGGGAGAAGCAGAGAUGAGGCAGGUUGCUGAAGAAUUCAAGGAGUUUCCUCCCCACCCCUGCCCUUCAGACAUGUGUCUGCAUCAUUGUCCCCAGGCACUGAUGCACCAGUAGGCUUUUUCUUGUUUGAUAAGCCCCUCUGCUCUUUCAUCUCCUGCUGAUGCAGUUUCCUCCUUUUUUUUUACAAGAACAAGGGCAGUUUCAGACAGGUGUUUAUUGUGGGAUGGGUGCUACUCAUCUACGCAAGGUGUUUUGUUUUUUGUUUUGCAGAGCCCACAUGAUGUCCUUGCCAUCAAAACACCAGCCUAUAUUCCAAUCCACUUCAAAUCCAAUCCAGAUUUACCCUGAGAGAAACGCAAAAAGUGCUUUUUAAAAACUGCUGCCAAUGAUCCAUGUGUGAUACCUGAAUGGUCUAUUUACAAUGCCCUGUUUAGGCAGCCCUGCUUAGGGAAGCUUUUAAUGUUUAAUAGGUUGUUGUAUUUUUGUGUUUUGUUGGAAGCCGCCCAGAGUGGCUGGGGAAACCCAGCCAGAUGGGUGGGGUAUAAUAAUAAAUUAUUAUUAUAAUAAUAAUAUUAUUAUUAAGCCCUCACCUGGAAGUGCGUCAGAUCUACAUCUCAAUGGUGCUUUUGGUACUCAGGUUCUAAAGCAACCUAGCUAAAGCUCUGAUCCUCAACUUUUAGAAAUGAGUAUUUUCAGAGGGAAGAAUGGCACUCUGCUUUUGCUCAAAGGAACCUUUCCCCAUUAUGCCAGACUGUUCUUGGAGCAAGGGCUGAUCAUGGCAUUGCAAUCUACAAGCAGGGGAAGUAAAAGCAGUGUGUAUCUCAUGACAUGAAGGAAAGCUGCAAUGGGUUUGCCCACAUCAUAACCCCAGAAGUGGAGUGCAUAGCAGAAAUAUGUGUUGGGGUUAUGCACGGGGAGAUAACCAAAGGGCUGGAUUUAUUUCCCUUGUCUGCUAGGAAUGUGCCCUGCCCACGCCCUGCAGAGUCAAGGCUUGCUCAGCUGUAAUUUUCUCAUCAUUCAUUUUGCAACCUCACCUCCAGCAGGUGAGCACAAGGUAGAUGGCCCAUCUAUCAUUCUAAUGUCCUUUAGGGCCGACUGUUACCACAGUGAUCCCAUGGACAAGACAGGGUGCACUUAGCCUGGCUGCUGCUUUCAUUUCAUUUCAUUACCUUGCAUAUCCCGCCUUUCUCUCAGUGCAGGACCUAAGGCAGCUUACAGCAUUGCUCCCUUCACUGUAAUGUGAGAAACGGCUGCCAAUCUGACAGCAGCCAGUUGGAGGCUGGUUUUUCCCCAUGAUCCCUUUCUUCUCUCCCGCAGCCAAGUGGGUGAAAUGCCAGCUUGAGCCGUCACCACUCACACUUGCGGCAGUUCAAGGGCAGCAUGCAAGGGGAGACACUGCUAUGGCUUUCCGAAGCCAGACGUUGCGCACGAUGCCAGCCGAGUGAUGCAAACUGCAAAUUUCAACAAACAGGCUGGCUGUUUUAAAUCUUCUCUUAAGCACUGGGCCUGCAAGAGAAACAAAGCAGAUAUUUUAAUGCACGCUUUUCUAGAACACAGAUGAAUGACGGAGACUCCUGUGGAAUUUGAAAGCUUGUGUUUUUCUGCACAUGGAGGCUAUCAUAUUGCCAUGGUUCUCAAUGGUUUCAGCCAGGGGAUAUUCUCAAUUUUAUCUGGAGAUGUAGUGCAUCUGCCUUGCAUGCAGAAGGUUCCUGGUUCAAUCCUGGACAUCUCCAGCUAAAACUGAGAAUGUCCCCUGGCUGAAACCACGGAGAGCCAUUGCCAGUCAGAGUAGACAGUACUGAACUAGAUGGACUGGUGAUCAGACUUCAUAUAAGACAGCUCUUAUAUUACUAUCUUCCGCGAUUGCAACGAACAGGGGUCCUGAAUUUGGCUACCACAUACCCCCAGCAAACAAGCUUGAUUCAAGUUGUAAUAUAUAUUGUGUUAUACUGUUGAUGGAUUGAAGCAGUUAAUUUGAGCAUGCUUGAGAUACCUGUUUUCAAGGAUCAUAAAGAAAUAACUCUCUAUCACAGGAGUAGUCAAUGAAGGCUAAGGCCAUCUUCGUGAGCAAUUUUUGUGGCCAUUCAAAUACACCAGGCAUAGACAAACUCUGCCCUCCAGAUGUUUUGGGACUACAACUCCCAUCAUCCCUGACCACCAGUCCUGUUAGCUAAGGAUGAUGGAAGUUGUAGUCCCAAAACAUCUGGAGGGCCAAGUUUGCCUAUGCCUGAAAUAAACCUUUGGCCUUUCCAGCAAUUGUCAUCAUCAUCAUAAUUAUUCUUAUUAUUAGUACCUGGCCUAUUUAUCCAUCUAAAUCAAGGUAAAGAAAUUUGUGCCCUUCCAGAAGCACUCGGACUCCAACUCCUAUCAUCCCUAAUUAGGCUAGCAAAUGAUCAGGGAGGAUGGGAGUUGGAGUCCAUCAGCCUUGAGGACUGCCAGCUGCCCAACCCUGAUUUAUGCCAUCCAUUCCUCUGUAGGGGUAUGAAUGGCAACUGCUAGACACAGCAGCCUUCCAGACUGAACACAGCACUGGAAAGAAGAGGACAGACAGCUAGAGAACUCCCUGGUAUGCAUAUAUCUGAAUCCCAAUACUCCUUUGUGGUUGUUAAGAGGUUUCUAUUAUUUCUGUCAGCAGUUAACAAAGACAUCUGGCUCCAGCGAUCUGUCUGUUCUGUGGAUCUGUGCAAGCAUGGAAUUCUGUGCUGGAUAAAAAAUUCUGCAUGCUAAAAAUGCCAGCUUUUGCUCUUUCAAGCAAGUAUGUGUUUCUGCAAAUAUAAGCUUGAAGUCAUAUGAGCAGUGGAUGGCGAUAUAUCAGAGGUCAGUCAUGGAUGAGGUCAGAGUCGUACUUCCUGUGGGUGAGUGGUGAGACUGAGGUUCAGUAUUGUUCCUAUCAAUAGCAAGAUGCAUUAUGCACACUGAGGGCUCAGCCAUACUCCUACUUGUCCUGGGCCUAGAAAGCAUGGCUCUAAGCAGUUUUGCCUUCGUCUUGCCGCUUUCCUCCGGAAAACCUGCUCUUUAGCACCAAAUUGGAACGAACAGCAAUCUGCAGAAAACCCAAUUGCCAUUUGUUUCCUGGGGAAAGCGGCAAGGCAAUUGGAAGUUGCCCUGAAUAUUUUCAAUUUUGCUUGAUAGCAGUGAUUUAUUCAGAUUACAGAAGCUGGAUGAAGAAUUCAAACACAGAACCUGUUUCUUUCCAUCCUUUCCCAAAGAAUGGAAUGUACACAACUUGGGCUAUGGGGAAUCUAGAUAUUUUACCAUACUUUCUACAUAAGUGUUAUACAUCAAAUAUUUCCACAAUGCUGCUUUUAACAGUCUACAUUGACAAAUACAUGUUUGAUAAGCUAGAUUUGAACCCAGCCAGCAACAGCAAGCCUACUGAAUCCUUGUUGGCCCAAUCUGAUUCCUACAUAACCAUCAACACAUGUUUUGAAGCAGAUAUGAACCUGAAGGGAAAAAACAGACAGGUCAACAAUAAUUCAGUUGCACAAUUGUCUGAACUGCUCUUGAGAAACUUUGAGGAACUGGAAGGGGAAAAAAGAACCUUCAGUGAUCCAAAUCAGGGUGUAGGUGGCUGGGACUCUUUCUUUGGCCCAAAUGUCAACUGUUGUAAUGUUGCAAGUUUCCUAGGCCUGAAUCAUUUGGUUAGUUUUCAUAACACUGAGGUUUUAUUUUAAUUUCCCAACAUCUCAUUCCGAGUUUCCAUUGCUACAAUAUCUAAAUGCCACAGCUGGCCCAGCCAUUGGGCAAGUGGAGCACUUGCUUCCAAGUGCUAGCUCUACAGAGGAGCUGAGCAGAGGGCUGAAGAAGGCAAAUGAGGAUUGCUUCCAAGAAGCACCUGGCAACUGGAAGAGACUAAUCUGGACUUCCAUGGAUCUUCAAUGAUAGUUGCAGCAGUGGUAAGAAGACUACAGAGUUCAGGGAUGAAGACUCAACAGCCAAAGACAGAAUGGAACUCCAUUCAGGGCAUCACAAAGGCUGGCCCUAACUGCACUUUGAUAUAUACAGCUUCAAAUAUAGGAUACCUUGUGAAGUCAGUGGGAUCCAAGUACCGUAGAUUCCAGUGCCAGACAAAUACAUGCUUUUAAUACUGAGCACUUUGAAAGUGCCAAUGGUUUGGCUUUUGACUUGUUGUUGUUGUUGCUGUUGUUGUUAUUAUUUACUAUUGAAUAAGAACUACAAUAUUAUGCCACCCACCUGACUGGGUUUCCCCUGCCACUCUGGGCACCUUCCAACAUAUAUAAAAUCAUAAUAAAGCAUUACACAUUAAAAAGCUUCCCUAUACAGGGCUGCCUUCAGAUGUCUUCUAAAGGUUAUAUAGUUACUCAUCUCCUUGGCAUCUGAUGGGAGGGUGUUCCACAGGGUGGGUGCCACUACUGAGAAGGCCCUCUGCCUGGUUCCCUGUAGCUUCACUUCUUGUAGUGUGAGAACCACCAAAAGGCCCUUGGUGCUGGACCUCAGUGUCAGGGCUGAACGAUGUUUAAAUUACAGUAAUUACAUUGAAAUAUGCAUGUAUACAUAUACAUUAGCAUAUGCAAAUUAUAUGCAAAUCUUCCCCUCUUUUGUCCUCUUUUACCAGGAACAAAUUCUCCUUUUUGGCAAUGUGAUGGUGGGCACCCUGUGCAGAAGACAGAGACAAUUUGACCAACCUGAGCCCAGAAGAAAGGUCAAGAGCUCCUGAAACUUAAGAGGAAGCCACCCUUUCUGGAUUUGUUGACAAUGCUCCAAAGGUUUGUUUUCCUUACAGAGACUAAAUGGGUCUUCAGUAUUCCCUACAACUUCACUGGCCUCAUACUCGGAAUGGGGCUGCAAGGAACUUCACGUAGCAGACAGAUGGCUGCCCAGCCAAUUCAGUAAUUAGAAUACUAAAUUAGGCAAAUCACAGGCUAAACAGCAACUCCCCAAGUAGCAGGAGCGGAUUGGAGGGCUCCAAUUGAAAAUUAACAGCGUCUCCGAGGAGGGAGAAGCCAUUGUGGCUAGGAAGCUGGCACAGCUGGGAAGCUGCAAUGCGGCGGGCAAUGCAUUUGGACGGGACUAUUACUGCACGUCAAAGCAGGAGAACACAAUGUCUGGGACACGCUAAUGACACCAGGGGAAAAAAACAGUAGCAUUUUAUUGUUCUUGGGUAGUAAUUGCUGAAAUGAUUUGCUGUCGAGUCUAGGAGCGUAAGUGGCUUGAUUAGCGGCAUUGGAUGCAAGAGAGAAAACAGUGGCUGCAAGUAGCUGUUGAGUUGUUCAGCAAGUGCUAGGAGGGAGCUCAUUAAGAGAGAACACGACAACAAGGAAAGAAAUAGAAAUGCACUCGCCCCUUUGAAACGUUCGCAAAAGAUGUCGAUUCUCAGCAACUCUAUAGCUGUAAAACCAUUCAAGGUAUUAUUUAAGCCAGGGCUCACUGAGGGUUAUCCCUGAGCCUGUUAAGAAUCACAUUUAUAGUGCUGUGUUUAAUCCAGUUUUUUUAGGGGAGGCCUUAAAACAAAAUCUUAUGCCACUUGGUAGUCAGCCUCCCUGGCUCCCCAAAUUUCAAAUUAAAGCUUAGGAGAAGAUGUUGUGGGCUAAGUCCUCCUGUGGUGCUUUUGCAGAUCAGGAGGUACAGAGAGCUGAAGAGGCUGGGGAAUAUUUCAUAGGGGUGAGGGAAACACCACAAGAAAAGUUUCCAAAAAGGACAAGCAAAAUUAUCAAGUGGGUGGUGUGACGCCCUUAUGAAGACAAGUUGCAGCAUUCUAGGCUUUUUUAGUUUAAAGCAGGGGUCAGCCAACUUUUUCAACAGGGGACCGUUCCACUGUCCCUCAGACCUUGUGGCGGGCCAGACUAUAUUUUGAAAAAAAUAUAUGAACAAAUUCCUAUGCCCCACAAAUAACCCAGAGAUGCAUUUUAAAUAAAAGCACACAUUCUACUCAUGUAAAAACACACUGAUUCCCGGACCGUCCAUGGGCUGGAUUUAGAAGGCGAUUGGGCCGGAUCCGGCCUCCAGGCCUUAGUUUGCCUACCUAUGGUUUAAAGAAAAGGUGAGGAAGAGGCAACAUGAUAACAGUUUGUAAAAUUAUGCACAGCAUGGAGGAAAGGGAUAAAGGAAAGUUUUUCUCCUGCUCUCAUUAACACUAAAACUGGUAAAACAACCGAGACUGCAAGAUUCAGGACAGAGGAAAUAAAUUACUUCUGCACACGGCACUUAAACUAUAGGACUCACUUGCGCAAGAGUCAGUGAAGUCCACCAUCUUGGAUGGCUUUAACAGAGGCCUGGACAAAUAGAUGGCAAAUAAGGCUACUUAUAUCUACUAGCCAUGAUAGUUGUGUUCUGCCUCAACAGCCAGGAGUGAGCUCCCGUUGCUCUGUCCCAGCUCCUGCCAACCUAGCAGUUUGAAAGCAUGCCAGUGCAAGUAGAUAAAUAGGUACUGCUGUGGUGGGAAGGUAAAACAGCGUUUCCGUGCGCUCUGGUUUCCAUCACGGUGUCCCACUGCACCAGAAGCAGUUUAAUCAUGUUGACCACAUGACCCAGAAAGCUGUCUGUGGACAAAUGCCGGCUCCCUUGGCCUGAAAGCGAGAUGAGCACCACAUGCCCAUAGUCGCUUUUGACUGGACUUAGCGUUUCCGUGUGCUGCUCUGGUUCGCCAGAAGUGGCUUAGUCAUGCUGUCCACAUUACCCGGAAUCUGUACGCCGGCUCCCUCGGCCAAUAAAGCGAGAUGAGCGCCGCAACCCCAGAGUCGAUCACAACUGGACCGUUGUAAAGGGGUCCCUUUACCUUUAAUAACUGUCCAGGGGUCCUUUACCUCCCCCUCUCCCAGGAAAAUCAAUAGCUUUAUUGGGACCAACUAAUGCUCACAAUACCAUGUGCAAACUUCUGAGUUAUACAGAACUCAUUCCCAAGCUGAAGAUUUUUUUUGCUGAAGGGAAAACAUAUGCUUCUCAGUGUGGUGUUAACCGCUAGGGUCCUUUACCUUUCUACCUUUUACCUUGAUGUCUACAAGCCAUGAUAGUCAUGUUCUGCCUCAGCAGUCAGGAGGCAGUAAUACUUCUGAAUACCAGUUGCUGGAAACAGGAGAGAAGAGUGCUCUUGCGAUGUGGUCCUGGCUUGUAGGUUGACCCCUCUGAGAACAGGAUGCUGGACUCGAUGGGCCAUUGGCCUGAUCCAGGAGCCUCUGUUUAUGUUCUGAGUAUCCAUCCCCUUUUUGGAAUCUAAAUAAGCUGCUUUCACCUUUGAAGGGAAACACCUGCACGCAGAGGCAACAGGAUGAGGGCUGGGACUCAAAUGUUACUGGAACUGCUCUGGCUGUUAACCGCAAGCUCAACCGCCGACCAGCUGUACUCAGUUUACAUCAUGAAGCAACCUCUCUGAACAAAAGAGAAGGCAUUUAAAACAACUGUCAUCCUUUGGGCACAUGCAGUAGAUUUUGUACAUAUGAGCAGCUGCACAAAUUAACUGAACUACAGCUCCUAUGUUAGUACCACCCGGACUUCAUUCAUCCUCUAGCAGUUCAACAUUAUCAGAGGACUUGCUAAACCCCAACCCAAAGUUGGCAUAUGAAGCAGCAGCCUUGCACAAGACCUCUUGGGAAACUGACAUAUGCCACCUUGAGUUCCACCAUAGAUGGAAGUCAGGAGAUGAGAAAUAUCAUACAUAAAUGCCAUCAUAGUGAAUCACAGUGGGAAAGGUAAUCCAAAACUGCAGCCAGCACAACUAGCC